rnacentral:tRNA from 1 species
GCUGGUGUAGCUCAGUCGGUAGAGCUACUGCCUUGUAAGCAGUAGGUCGGCGGUUCAAGUCCGUUCACCAGCUCCA